UACGUAGGUGGCAAGCGUUGUCCGGAUUUACUGGGCGUAAAGAGCGCGCAGGCGGUCGUUCAAGUCGCGUGUGAAAGCCCCCGGCUCAACUGGGGAGGGUCACGCGAUACUGAUCGACUCGAAGGCAGGAGAGGGAAGUGGAAUUCCCGGUGUAGUGGUGAAAUGCGUAGAUAUCAGGAGGAACACCGGCGGUGUAGACGGCUCUCUGGACCGUUACUGACGCUGAGAUACGAAAGCGUGGGUAGCAAACAGG
rnacentral:rRNA from 1 species